AGAGCUUAACUUUAGAACUGCAUCUGAAACUGUAUUGCUAGAGUGCAGGAGAGGUAAGCGGAAUUCCUAGUGUAGCGGUGAAAUGCGUAGAUAUUAGGAGGAACAUCAGUGGCGAAGGCGGCUUACUGGACUGUAACUGACGUUGAGGCGCGAAAGCGUGGGGAGCAAACAGGAUUAGAUACCCUGGUAGUCCACGCCGUAAACGAUGGAUACUAGGUGUAGACUCGAAUGAGUCUGUGCCGCCGCAAACGCAAUAAGUAUCCCACCUGGGGAGUACGGCCGCAAGGUUGAAACUCAAAGGAAUUGACGGGGGCCCGCACAAGCAGUGGAGUAUGUGGUUUAAUUCGACGCAACGCGAAGAACCUUACCAAGACUUGACAUAUACUAGAAAGUCUAAGAAAUUAGACCCCUCUUCGGAGCUGGUAUACAGGUGAUGCAUGGUUGUCGUCAGCUCGUGUCGUGAGAUGUUGGGUUAAGUCCCGCAACGAGCGCAACCCUCGUGAUUAGUUGCCACGAAGUGGAACUCUAAUCAGACUGCCGUAGUUAAUACGGAGGAAGGUGAGGAUGACGUCAAAUCAUCACGUCCCUUACGUCCUGGGCUACACACGUACUACAAUGGGUGUUACAGAGAGAAGCGAAUUCGCGAGGAGGAGCAAAUCUGAAAAAAGCAUCCCUAGUUCGGAUUGUAGGCUGCAACCCGCCUACAUGAAGCUGGAAUUGCUAGUAAUCACAGGUCAGCAUACUGUGGUGAAUACGUUCCCGGGCCUUGUACACACCGCCCGUCACACCAUGAGAGUUGAGAAUACCCGAAGUCCAUGUCAAAGUGGCCGAAGGUAGGCUUGAUGAUUGGGGUGAAGUCGUAACAAAGGUAGCCGUAAGCC
rnacentral:rRNA from 1 species